AUUGAACGCUGGCGGCAGGCCUAACACAUGCAAGUCGAGCGAAUGAAGGAAGAUUGCUCCUGGCUUCAGCGGCGGACGGGUGAGUAAUUCAUAGGAAUCUGCCUGGUAGUUGGGGAUAACGUCAGGAAACGGGAGCUAAUACCGCAUACGUUCUGAGGUAGAAAGUGAGGGAUCUUCGGACCUCACGCUAUCAGAUGAGCCUAGGUCGGAUUAGCUAGUUGGUGGGGUAAAGGCCUACCAAGGCGACGAUCCGUAGCUGGUCUGAGAGGAUGAUCAGUCACACUGGAACUGAGACACGGUCCAGACUCCUACGGGAGGCAGCAGUAGGGAAUAUUGGACAAUGGGCGAAAGCCUGAUCCAGCCAUGCCGCGUGUGUGAAGAAGGUCUUCGGAUUGUAAAGCUCUUUAAGUUGGGAGGAAGGGCAGUAAGUUAAUACCUUGCUGUUUUGACGUUACCAACAGAAUAAGCACCGGCUAACUUCGUG
rnacentral:rRNA from 1 species